rnacentral:rRNA from 1 species
CCUACGGGAGGCAGCAGUGAGGAAUAUUGGUCAAUGGACGCAAGUCUGAACCAGCCAAGUAGCGUGCAGGAUGCAGGCCCUCCGGGUUGUAAACUGCUUUUAGUUGGGAAUAAAAGGGGGCUCGUGAGCCCCGUAUUGUAUGUACCAUCAGCAAAAGGACCGGCUACUUCCGUGCCAGCAGCCGCGGUAAUACGGAGGGUCCGGGCGUUAUCCGGAUUUAUUGGGUUUAAAGGGAGCGUAGGCCGGCUUUUAAGUCAGCUGUGAAAGUCCGCGGCUCAACCGUGGAAUUGCAGUUGAUACUGGAGGACUGGAGUGCACACAGGGAUGCCGGAAUUCAUGGUGUAGCAGUGAAAUGCUUAGAUAUCAUGAAGAACACCGAUCGCGAAGGCAAGUGUCCGGGGUGCAACUGACGCUGAGGCUCGAAAGUGCGGGGAUCAAACAGGAUUAGAUACCCUUGUAGUC